UCUUUAGGCAAUUUGUAAAUAUUGAAUCCAAGAAAUGUCGUCAGUUUGGAAGACUAACUAUUACUGACGUGAACUCAGGGAUAUUUUUGUUUGAUGUCUUCUGAUUUGCAUUUUAAUCUUUACAAUGAUGGUUGCCCGAUGUCCAGUGUUUCUCCGCGAGCCCAGAGCCACUACUAGACCCUGUUUUACUGUGCACCCACCCUCUGCCACUGUCGCUACCCCAGCGCCACCACUAGGCCGCCACCGUGUUGCUCCGGCCAUUCACUCAUCAUCAUCAAUCUUUCCCUUUUUUUCCCCUGUUCCAAUUCCCUGCUUCCCAGGGGGCCAAUAUUCUUGUAGAUAAUAAAGGUUGCAUUAAACUUGCAGAUUUUGGGGCCUCCAAACAAGCUAGUAUUAGAAUGGAUUACUUGAACGUGCACAAAGUGGAGCAGUUUUAGGUUGAUUCUGAUCUUUUACCAAGUAUUUAGGUUGAUGAUCAUCUCUAUUAGUGUAAUUUGAUAUACUAUGAGC